UGUCUUCCCGAGUAGCUGCUCCAUUCCCGGCAUAGAGGAUCAGGAGAGGGGACGCCACCUGCCACACGCUGGAUGCUGGGGUCCGCACGACUGCGGCUUGUGUCGCUGUGGUUGGUGGUGGUGAUGGAAACUGCAGCGUGGCUGGAGUGCAACAAUGAACCAUUUCUUGAUUGGAUUGUGAUGUGACGAAAAGUGGAUUUUAUACGACAACCGGCAAUGACCAGCUCAGUGGUUGGACCAAGAAGACGCUCCAAGGCACUUCCCAAAGCCAAACUUGCACCAAAAAAGGUUAUGGUCACUAUUUGGUGGUCGUCGGCUCGUCUGAUCCACUGCAGCUUUCUGAAUGCCAGUGAAACCAUUGCCUCUGAGGAGUGUACUCAGCAAAUUGAUGACAUGCACUGAAAACUCCAGCGCCUGCAGGCAGCAUUGAUCAACAGAAAAGCCCAAUUCUUCUUCAUGACAGCACCUGACCACAUGUCACACAACUCACGCUUUAAAAGUUGAACAAAUUGGGCUACGAAGUUUCACCUCAUCUGCCGUAUUCACCUGAUCUCUCGCCAACUGACUACUACUUAUUCGAGCAUCUUGACAACUCUUUGCAGGGAAAAUGCUUUCAGGACCAGCAGGAUGCAGAAAAUGCUUUCAAGAGUUUAUUGAAUCCUGAAGAAUGGAUUUUUACACUAUAGAAAUAAACAGACUGGGCGCAGUGGCUCACGCCUGUAAUCUCAGCACUUUGGGAGGCCAAGGCAGCCAGAUCACCUGAGG
rnacentral:lncRNA from 1 species